GACGAACGCUGGCGGCGUGCUUAACACAUGCAAGUCGAACGGGCCUUGUCCCCUUUUUUUUUGGGGGUGGGGUUAGUGGCGAACGGGUGAGUAACACGUGAGUAACCUGCCCCUCACUUCUGGAUAACCGCUUGAAAGGGUGGCUAAUACGGGGUGUUCUGGCCUGCUCGCAUGGGUGGGUUUGGAAAGAUUCGACCGGUUUGGUUGUUUUGGUGGGGGAUGGGCUCGCGGCCUAUCAGCUUGUUGGUGGGGUGAUGGCCUCCCAAGGCUUUGACGGGUUGCCGGCCUGAGAGGGUGGGCGGUCACACUGGGACUCAGACACGGCCCAGACUCCUACGGGAGGCAGCAGUGGGGAAUAUUGCACAAUGGGCGCAAGCCUGAUGCAGCGACGCCGCGUGAGGGAUGGAGGCCUUCGGGUUGUGAACCUCUUUCGCCAGUGAAGAAGGUCCUGCUCUUUGUGGUGGGGUUGACGGUAGCUGGGUUAAUGAAGCGCCGGCUAACUACGU
rnacentral:rRNA from 1 species